rnacentral:tRNA from 1 species
CGGUGACAUAGCCCAGGCCGGCGUCGCGCUGCUGCUGCCAGUGCGCGGCGCGCAGCUCGGCGCCCGUGGCUUCGAGCACGGCGGCGUCGA